CAGUCGCCGCGGUAAUACGGAGGAUCCAAGCGUUAUCCGGAAUCAUUGGGUUUAAAGGGUCCGUAGGCGGUCUUGUAAGUCAGUGGUGAAAGCCCAUCGCUCAACGGUGGAACGGCCAUUGAUACUGCAGGACUUGAAUUAUUGGGAAGUAACUAGAAUAUGUAGUGUAGCGGUGAAAUGCUUAGAGAUUACAUGGAAUACCAAUUGCGAAGGCAGGUUACUACCAAUUGAUUGACGCUGAUGGACGAAAGCGUGGGUAGCGAACAGGAUUAGAUACCCGCGUAGUCCCUGUCUCUUAUCU
rnacentral:rRNA from 1 species